rnacentral:lncRNA from 1 species
GGGUCACGUGUUUCCCUUGCUGGCCUGGAACUCUAUGUAGAAGAGGAUGCUGGGACCACGGGCAUGCCCCACUGUGUCCGAUUUACGUUGUACUGUGGAUCCCACCCAGUGCUUCAUUGGUAGUUUUUGGACCGUGCCUGCCUGACGGGCAGGGUGGCAGGGUUUCUGACAGGAGCCCCUGAGGUGAUGAAAAGACUCUGUGGUGGAACAUUGCAUAGGAAGUGCCCCCGGAGCAAGCCUGAUCAUGAGUCACAACAGUAAUAGCAGGCAUUGUGCUAAGGGACAAUAGUCUUAGCUCAUGUG